CUGAAAUUAUAAUAGAGAACGUAAAGAAUUAUGAGUUCUUGUAUAAUUUGGCCUCAAAAGACUACAAGAAUGUUCAAAAAAAGACGGAAGUAUGGGAGGAAAUUGGCAGCUUGGUCAAUUUGUCGGGUGAAGCUUGCAGGAAACGGUGGAAAGGGCUCCGAGACACCUACAAAAGGCGCAAAAGAGCAGCUCAGCUUGCUUCCGGAAGUGGCGCACCAAGCCCAUCUAAAAGAUGGAGAUAUAUGGAGUCGCUGGAGUUUUUAGAUGACUACAAAGAUGCACGAACAACAAUUGGAAACAUUGAUAACAUAGACAAUGAUUUGCCAAGCAUUCUUGAUUGCUCGUCGUCUUCUGUCAACGAUUUUCUGCUAACUGACGAAAGCAGCAGCCAAGCAAACGAACCUCCGCCGAAGUACACCAAGAAGCACGCGGACGCAGAAAUAACUACGGUCUUCAUGCAGGAGUGUGCAAAUUCUGUA